rnacentral:misc_RNA from 1 species
GAUGAAGAACGUAGCGAAAUGCGAUAAGUAAUGUGAAUUGCAGAAUUCAGUGAAUCAUCGAAUCUUUGAACGCACAUUGCGCCCGGUAGUAUUCUGCCGGGCAUGCCUGUUCGAGCGUCAUUUCAACCAUCAAGCCCCAGCGCUUGUGUUGGGGGCCUGCGGCUGCCGCAGCCCCCUAAAAGCAGUGGCGGGCUCGCUAUCACACCGAGUGCAGUAGUUCAUCUUCUCUCCGGUCUUGUGAGGCGGGUUCCGGCCGUGAAACACCCCACUACAUUCAAGGUUGACCUCGGAUCAGGUAGGACUACCCGCUGAACUUAAGCAUAUCAAAAGCGGAGGA